rnacentral:rRNA from 1 species
UACGGAGGGGGCAAGCGUUGUUCGGAAUUACUGGGCGUAAAGGGCGCGUAGGCGGUUUGCUAAGUUGGAUGUGAAAACUCUGGGCUUAACCCAGAGCCUGCAUCCAAAACUGGCUGACUUGAGUACUGGAGGGGAAAGCGGAAUUCCUGGUGUAGCGGUGAAAUGCGUAGAUAUCAGGAGGAACACCGGUGGCGAAGGCGGGUCUCUGGGCAGUAACUGACGCUGAGGAGCGAAAGCGUGGGGAGCGAACAGG